UUGCUUUGGCAGCAAUUAUACUGAAAUUGGAACGAUACAGAGGAGAUUAGCAUGGCCCCUGCACAAGGAUGACAAGCAAACUUGUGACGCGUUCCAUAGUUUU